GAUGAAGAACGUAGCGAAAUGCGAUAAGUAAUGUGAAUUGCAGAAUUCAGUGAAUCAUCGAAUCUUUGAACGCGCAUUGCGCCCCCUGGUAUUCCGGGGGGCAUGCCUGUCCGAGCGUCAUUACAACCCUCAAGCUCAGCUUGGUGUUGGGCCCCGCCGCCCCGGCGGGCCCUAAAGUCAGUGGCGGUGCCGUCCGGCUCCGAGCGUAGUAAUUCUUCUCGCUCUGGAGGUCCGGUCGUGUGCUCGCCAGCAACCCCCAAUUUUUUUCAGGUUGACCUCGGAUCAGGUAGGGAUAACCGCUGAACUUAAGCAUAUCAAUAAGCGGAGGA
rnacentral:misc_RNA from 1 species